AUUGAACGCUGGCGGCAUGCUUUACACAUGCAAGUCGAACGGCAGCGCGGGCUUCGGCCUGGCGGCGAGUGGCGAACGGGUGAGUAAUACAUCGGAACGUGCCCAGUAGUGGGGGAUAGCUCGGCGAAAGCCGGAUUAAUACCGCAUACGACCUGAGGGUGAAAGCGGGGGAUCUUCGGACCUCGCGCUAUUGGAGCGGCCGAUGGCAGAUUAGCUAGUUGGUGGGGUAAAGGCCUACCAAGGCGACGAUCUGUAGCUGGUCUGAGAGGACGACCAGCCACACUGGGACUGAGACACGGCCCAGACUCCUUCGGGAGGCAGCAGUGGGGAAUUUUGGACAAUGGGCGAAAGCCUGAUCCAGCAAUGCCGCGUGUGUGAUGAAGGCCUUCGGGUUGUAAAGCACUUUUGGCGGGAACGAAAAGGACUGUGCCAAUACCACGGUUCGAUGACGGUACCCGCAGAAUAAGCACCGGCUAACUACGUG
rnacentral:rRNA from 1 species